UUAUUGGUUAUAAUUUUAAGUCUAACCUGCCCAAUGAUAAAGUUUAAUGGCCGCGGUAUUUUGACUGUGCAAAGGUAGCAUAAUCACUAGUUUUUUAAUUGGAAGCUUGAAUGAAGGGUUUGAUGAAAAAAUUUCUGUCUCUAUUAAAAUUUUUUAGAAGUUUAUUUUUAAGUUAAAAAGCUUAAAUUGAUAUUGAAGACGAGAAGACCCUAUAGAGUUUAAUAUUUGAGUAAAAUAAAAGAUUUAUAGAUAAAAUUGGUUUCUUAUUUGUUUAAGUAUUUGAUUGGGGUGAUUAAAAAAUUUAAUGAACUUUUUUUUUAUUUAUACAUUAAUAUUUGAAUAGUUGAUCCUUAUUUAAAGAUUAAAAGAAGAAAUUACCUUAGGGAUAACAGCGUUAUUUUUUUUAGAGCUCUUAUCGAAAAAAAAGAUUGCGACCUCGAUGUUGGAUUAAAGUAAAUUGUUGGUGUAGAUGCUAAUAAAUUAAGUCUGUUCGACUUUUAGAACUUUACAUGAUCUGAGUUUAAACCGGUGUGAG
rnacentral:rRNA from 1 species